AUCGCAAAUCUAUUUUUCAAACUACUAACAUGCGUUUUGUACAUCGUCCGCGUCGUACUCGAUCAGGAACCCACGUCGGCAACAUGCUACGGGUGCAUGGUGGGCAACAAAACCGAAUUUCUGUGGAGCCGAAAUCUGACGGACGAGGCGUUCCAAGCAAGGCCGAUCAUCAAUUGGGAUGCAAUCCAAUGGGUGAAACGGCCAUUCGAGCUGUGGAUAAUCCAGUGUGGUCUAGCACUUUUCGCCCUCAGCGAAUCGUUACUGCUCACGUACAUCGGCUACAAGGGAAAUGUGAUGCAACAACUCCUAUCAUUCCACUUCCUUUUAGAGUUGAUUACUACUGUACCUUUUGUUUUUACCAUUUUCCAACCAACACUAAUCAAUCUAUUCAUACCGGUGUUUCUUAACUGCUGGUUAGCGAAGAAGUCGCUGGAAAACAUGUUUAAUGAUCUGCACCGGGCCAUGCAAAAGUCACAAUCAGCGUUGUCACAGCAGUUGAUGAUACUAUCCGCCACCCUGCUGUGUUUAGUGUUCACCAGCGUAUGCGGCAUACAGCAUUUCCAAAGGGCCGGCCAUCGUCAUCUGAGUCUCUUCCAAGCCACGUAUUACGUGGUGGUGACGUUCUCCACGGUCGGAUAUGGUGACUUCGUGCCGGACAUUUGGCCGUCGCAGCUGUACAUGGUCGUCAUGAUUUGCAUAGCGCUCAUUGUUCUUCCUACGCAGUUCGAGCAGCUGGCGUUCACUUGGAUGGAAAGGCAGAAACUCGGCGGUUCUUAUUCGUCGCACAGGGCGCACUCGGAAAAGCAUGUGGUCGUCUGCAGUACAACUCUCCAGGCUGAUACAAUCAUGGAUUUUCUUAAUGAAUUUUACGCACAUCCAUUGCUCCAAGACUAUUUUGUGGUUCUAUUAUCGCCAAUGGAACUUGACACCACAAUGAGAAUGAUUCUCCAAGUGCCUAUUUGGGCGCAACGUGUAAUUUAUAUUCAAGGGUCGUGUUUGAAAGAUGGAGAUCUUUCUAGGGCUAGGAUGAGUGAUGCUAAAGCUUGUUUCGUCUUGGCCGCAAGAAAUUAUGCUGACAAAGCUGCUGCGGACGAACAUACAAUAUUACGAUCGUGGGCCGUCAAGGACUACGCGCCAACCGUCCCCCAAUACGUUCAAAUAUUUCGACCAGAAAACAAAUUGCACGUGAAAUUUGCCGAAUUUGUCGUCUGUGAAGAUGAGCUCAAGUAUGCUCUGCUCGCCAACAACUGCACUUGUCCUGGAGCUUCAACCCUAGUUACUCUUCUGUUACACACCAGUAGGGGACAGGAAGGCCAGACUUCACCGGAAGAAUGGCAUAGACUGUACGGUAGAUGUUCAGGAAAUGAAAUCUAUCACAUACUAUUAGGCGAUAGUAGAUUCUUCGGCGAAUACGAAGGCAAAAGCUUUACAUACGCAAGUUUCCACUCACACCGAAAGUUCGGUGUGUCUUUAGUGGGCGUUAGGCCGGCCGACCUACCAGAGUUCUACGAAGACACCAUACUUUUGAACCCUGGGCCAAGACAUAUAAUGAAGAAAUCCGAUAUAUGUUAUUACAUUAGCGUCAACAAAGAGGAAAAUUCGUCAUUUGUUGUCUCUAACAACGGCGCUGUACCAUCAAAACAGCUAGAUAGCGUGUUGGGUAAUGAUAAGCCGGCAGACGUUCAAAAGACUAUUAUAGAAAGUUACACGUUGCAAAACAAACAAACUGAGGAAGCGUCAGCAGUGAGCAAUCAUCUGAGCAUUCCCAAACCAAUAGACAUAAACCCGAAUUUAUUAAGCCCCGAAAUACUCGGUCAGAGAAGAGGUAGUCGCCGUCCAAGCAUUCUACCGGUAGCGGAAACAAUGACCGGCUCAUCAUUGAACAUAUCAGUACCACAUCCGGAAGAAGAUGGCGACGAGAGCGACGACGAGCUCGAAGACGAAGUGCCGUGGAGAUCGCCCAGUGAAAAAAUAGCAUUCCGCGUUACAGCGGAUGGCAAGGAAGACGUUUAUACACAGCCUGUUUGGCAUGCUGAGUGGACCAGAAUAGUCAAAGGAUUCCCACCGGUAUCACCGUACAUAGGUGUCAGUCCCACAUUGUGUUAUUUAUUAAAAGAAAAAAAACCACUAUGUUGCCUACAACUCGCUCAGGUGUGCGAGCAUUGUGCUUACCGGAACGCCAACGACUACAAUUGGCAAAACAAGACGAUCAUUUUAGCGGCUGAUUACGCCUCGAACGGGAUUUACAAUUUUAUCAUACCACUGAGGGCACAUUUCCACCAAAAAACCUCGUUGAACCCGAUCAUCAUUUUACUAGAACGCCGUCCGGACAUAGCGUUUCUGGACGCCAUUUCGUACUUUCCAUUGGUCUACUGGAUGUUGGGAUCUAUUGACUGCUUAGACGAUCUCUUGAGGGCUGGAAUAUUAUUAGCAGAGAACGUAGUUGUGGUAAACAAAGAACUAUCAAAUUCGGCUGAAGAGGAAACAUUAGCAGACUGUAAUACCAUUGUUGCAGUUCAAACAAUGUUUAAAUUUUUCCCAAACAUACGAAGCAUAACGGAGCUAUCCCAGUCGUCUAAUAUGAGAUUCAUGCAGUUCAGAGCACAAGAUACGUAUGCAUUGCAUUUAUCAAAAAUGGAAAAACACGAGAAAGAAAGAGGCUCGCAUAUAUCGUACAUGUUCCGACUGCCAUUUGCGGCCGGUUCCGUGUUCAGCGCCAGUAUGUUGGACACGCUUUUAUACCAAGCAUUUGUAAAAGACUACGUAAUUACUUUUGUGAGAUUACUUUUAGGCGUAGAUCAGGCACCUGGUUCUGGUUUCUUGACUUCGAUGAAGAUUACAAAAGAUGAUAUGUGGAUACGGACUUACGGACGCCUCUAUCAAAAACUGUGUUCUACGACUUGCGAAAUACCGUUAGGUAUUUAUAGAACUCAAGACUUGUCAAAUAUAGAAUCGCCACCGGAUGCAUGUGAUACCGACUGCGAUAAAGUAUCUGAGGGUUCGGACCAUGAAGCUUACAUGCCCAUACCGACUAACUGUCUACCUAAUUGCCACAGGAACCAAAAUUCUGUAUUCUCGAUUAAUAUGCACGACGAUGCACGUGACAACCACGACAACUUGAUCGAGCGGGCGGAAAUCGUGAACCUGGUCAGAUCCCGAAUGGACAGCCUUAACUUACCUGCAGUCGAUCACGAAGACGUGAGCGAGAAACGAAGCAGUCUUUCAUACGUCAUUAUUAAUCCAAGUUGUGACCUAAAACUCGAAGAGGGUGACAUUGUAUACAUUCUGCGUCCCAGUCCGUUUUCGGCACAGAAAACAUUCGAGAGGCACAACAGCCGGAGGAAGUCCAACAUCAGUUUCAACUCGACCGUUGGACAACUCGGCUUCGGCGGUUCCAGGAGGGGAUCGAGCAUGGCGUUCCCGCCGUUUAUGACCCGACCACCGCCGUUGGUCACCACCAAAGCCAACAGCCUGUCGCUGCCGGACAGCCCGACGGUGGGCAGUGCUCUUCGGGCACGGUCCAAUUCUCUGCGGGUGGUCGACGACAUACUGCUGAGAAGGUCGAACUCGCUGAGGCAAGGGCUGUCCAUCUGCAACCGAAAAAGCAGCCUCGAAGAGCUGGGAGUGUCACAUUUCCCCAUUGGGUCCGUUGCCCACGAACGUAGACCUAGCAUGCAAGUAAGCCUAAGCGCUCGAUCAAUGAGAAAUAUCGUCACCACGCGAAGGCGGUCUGAGCUUGACAUUAGAACCGUAUAGAAAUCGCACAUCGAACGCCGGCACCGGUGGACUCAUUCGACACAUUCGACGGCUUCAUCCGAGUAACGAGAUGAGCGGCAGCGCAAUAAAGAUCGCUCUGAACGGCAGCAUCGGUCUGGAGGUGACGCCGCC
rnacentral:misc_RNA from 1 species